GGCCUCUUCGUCUAGUGGCAGGACAGGUGGUUCUCAGCCAUCAAACAGGGGUCCGAUUCCCCUAGGGGCUA
rnacentral:tRNA from 3 species